rnacentral:rRNA from 1 species
GAUGAACGCUGGCGGCGUGCCUAAUACAUGCAAGUCGAGCGAACAGAUGAGGAGCUUGCUCCUCUGACGUUAGCGGCGGACGGGUGAGUAACACGUGGAUAACCUACCUAUAAGACUGGGAUAACUUCGGGAAACCGGAGCUAAUACCGAAUAAUAUAUUGAACCGCAUGGUUCAAUAGUGAAAGACGGUUUUGCUGUCACUUAUAGAUGGAUCCGCGCCGCAUUAGCUAGUUGGUAAGGUAACGGCUUACCAAGGCAACGAUGCGUAGCCGACCUGAGAGGGUGAUCGGCCACACUGGAACUGAGACACGGUCCAGACUCCUACGGGAGGCAGCAGUAGGGAAUCUUCCGCAAAGGGCGAAAGCCUGACGGAGCAACGCCGCGUGAGUGAUGAAGGUCUUCGGAUCGUAAAACUCUGUUAUUAGGGAAGAACAAAUGUGUAAGUAACUAUGCACGUCUUGACGGUACCUAAUCAGAAAGCCACGGCUAACUACGUG